rnacentral:lncRNA from 1 species
UCACCAUCUCCACUAGUGAGCAGUGCCUUCUCUUUGUUCUCUUCUAUCGCUGGUCACUGCCACCACGCGGUCUUGUUCUCUUUUCUCUCCAGUGAACAACACUUUCUUCACUCCAAUCCUAUCAUCACUCUUCCCUCCCAUAAACCAUUGCGAUAUAUGGUAAUUUGCCAAAAAAAAAAUAAAAAAAAUUGUUAUGUUGCGAAUAAACUCUAGUUCAAUUUUCUCCCUCCCAAAACCACUGCGAUAUUUCCCAUUCUCUACCCUCUCUCUUCUUCUCCACUGACCUUCGCCUUCCUCUGUCGAGUGACCUCAAAGAACACAUUUUCCCUGUGGUUGUGCAAUUUGACUAUCAGUUAAUAUAGGCACCAACAUUACCAGCGACAAUAAUAACAAGAACACGAAAAUAAAUGCAAAAGAGAAGUGGUCGCGCGACAGUAAGAGCUACUUGACUGGCAAUGAAGAUGCCCUGCCUCUCAUGAUGACCUCUUCAAACUCUUCCCCAGUGUCAUCAAAGGAAAUCGACAAGAGGCUCCAGUGGGAUCCAGUGAUAGAGGUCAGUUUGAGCUUUCUUGAAUUAGAUAGUUUGUAUUGGAAUUUAAUCUAUCUAUUUGGGGAGUGAAGAUAAUUGUGUAACUGAUUGACCCAACUGUUUUAUUUUGCAUAUUCUUUUCCUUCGUGUAUAUGUAUUGUCAUCCAAAGAGGAGAUAGUCUUGUCAAUUUUGACACAAUUAAGAUUUUAGUGAGGGUAGAAGAUUAUAAUUGCAAUCUUCUGCUUGGUAAGGAGACCUGAAUUUCAUUAGGAAAUUGAUUUGAAAUCCCAUAGGUUAUGCCAUUUGGUUCAACAGGAAGAGAAGUCACACAAAUCUACUUAUUGGUGGAUUUGCUAGAGGACCUGAUGCUUAUGACAACUUUGGUGAUCACUGAGAUAAUUACGAUCAAACUUAGCCUGCUAUCUACAACAAUGCCCCCUUAUGUUUAGUUCAAUGACUUCGGUUCUUACAAAUUUGAAGUUUUAUCUAGCAGUUUGCUCACAAUAAAUUAUAAGUUAUUUAUUGUCUAUUCAGUGGAACUUCCUGCACUUAAACAGGUUAAUACUCUGUAGAAAGUAGCCCCAAAACCUGAAGUAACUCCAGUGCCAGAUAACAUUCUGCUACUUCAUGAAUGUGGUUCAAUUUAACUUUUGUUCAUCGGAUUAUUAGACAGUGGGAACUGGAUUAACCUAAUAUUACUACUGUAUAAAAGAUUUUAUAGGGGUGAGUUUUGGAGAGGGAGAGGCAUGAGGCGAACCUUGUACACUUCUUCAUUAUUGUGAGAACCUGCCGUAUUAACUAGCAAGUGAAAACCUGCUGGUGGCUACUUGUCUCAUUUUUGAGUGCCUUUGCAAUCAAGAAAUAGUUGUUUUCGAUCUUCGAAUUGACUUCGUAAGUGAAGAAAGCUAUUGAUAAUGAUAACCUUUUUGGACUAAAUUCAUCAUAGGAACCGGUCCAUUUGACACCUCUUUUGUACAUUAGAGUCGUUAUUAGUAAGGCUUAUUAUGGUUUAAAGAAGGCAUAUUAUUUUUCAAUCCUGAAAUUGACUUGGUAAGUACAAAAGCCCAUAAGAGUAGGUAGAAAGAUUCUAUACAUACAACUAAUUAGAAUUAUUUUAAGCUUUAUUGUUAUUAGGAACCAUUUCAUUUUACAACCUUGCUGCACAUCAGAAUCAUAAUUGUUGGGUGCACAUUACGCUUUAAGGGUGAAGAAGAAAAAGAUGUAGGAAAACUUCAGCAGCUCAUCUCAUUAAAUUAAUACAUUUGGGAGUAUUGAUAAUCAAGAUUCAUUUUCGAUGAAUAUUACUACUUCAUUAGUACCUGAAAUAUGAAUUUCCCUUCUGUUGAUUUUGUGUUAGUUUUACAUGUGUAUAUGCAUAUGUGAAAAUUUGGAUUUUUUAUUUGUUGGUUAAAACUUUUGACUUUAUAGAACAGAAAUAGCUCCUCUCAUCUAAAAAUAUUUAUGCAAGUAAAAGUCAUUAAUACAUCUUACUAAUUUUUUAUUGGGCUUUGACCAAAUAGUUUUUUUUCCUUGUACAGAAAUAUGUAUGCAAAACUAGAUGAUAAAAAUAGUAACUUCAAAAAUUGUUGAGUGUUCCUACAUAGCUUACUUUGGAAAAUGAACGUUAUAUAGCACAAACCAUCUAGAACUUUUCCGUCAGGAUAUUUAAUUGCUCUAUUAAACUAUAGUAGGCCUCAAGGAGACAUAUUUUAUAAAUUUAAUGCUGCCUACUUUGAAAGAGACUCGAAAUCUAUACUUGAACAAGGAUUCAUCAUUUAGAGGUAAUUCCUUUACUAACAUUUACUACCAUAUGUUAUUCUACUUGCCAAAAUAAAUUAUUCCUCCUCUAUGUGUUCUUUACCAAUUUCUUUCGUUUCUAAUUUUGUACUUAAAAUGUUUAUUACUUAUUCUACUAUAAUUGACUAUAGCUCUCUAGACACCUUCAUCAUCUGUUUCCAUUUACGUUGCCGUAUGUUUUUUACAUCCAUUCACUAUGAAAUUACCUAACUAACUAUUGCUUUUGCUGUCAUACCAGGCAAUUGUUAAAGAAUUUCAAGCUUGAUGUGAAAGAACCAAUUCCAUGUGAUCGAUAUAGUAAGUAUUCAUUAUCAAUUUCAAUUUCAAACAAGUUAUUGUGAUUCAAUAUUACUUCCAAUAUUUUAUAUUCAUUAUUAUUUUAUCAUAAUUGUUGAACUGUUCCUUAAAUUUAUUCCUUUCAAAAGUAGUCUCGAUGAUCCAUUUCACAUGUUUUGCUGAAAUAAGAACUUGUGAUGUAGCUUUCAUGUACUUUUAAAGAGUAAUCCCAACUUUACACCAUUCUGAUGGCAAAGUACUUGUGGUCAGAUGAACUUGGCAACAAGGAUACAGGUGGCUCAUCUGGCUCUCAAGCAUCGCCUGAAGAUAAAGCAACAACAAAGGAUUAUUGUAUUUGGUGGAGCUUAGUCUCUACUAUUACUUCUAAUUUCAUUAUGCUCACUUUUUUUCUUCUUCCUUUUUGUUUUGUUUUGUUUAAUAUUUUUUAAAACUUGUGAUUUUAGUCUUGUGAAAUAUGACAAAGGAGUUGGAGAUGACUGGUGGGAAUUGGAAAAAAAAAAACCAUGUCUCUUGAUUCAAGUUCAAGACUAUCCAUUUGAUACCUUAUAUUUUUUGUAGGCAGUGGAUGGCGGUGGUGUUGCAGGCAAAAGAUGCACUGGAAUGGGCUUAUAGAGGAGAAGGAGCUGUCAAGUCAAUUGUGUUAUUGCUCAUUCUGUAAAAUCUCAUGAUUUUAUAUGUCUUCUUCUCCUCUUUUUUAUUCUUACCUUUUGUUGAUCAAAUAUUUUUGACUUUCACUUUUGCUUAUCCUGUGAAUAUUAGUCUUUCAACACACCGAUUUUAUGAACAAACACCUUUUUAGUUAUUUAUUGCUGCUGCCUUGAUUAGGAAAAAUUGAUUCACUUCUAAAUUUUUAUAGAGACGUUUAGUUUUUCUUCUUCCAACACUUAAUCAUUCAAGUCGUUAUAUUUAUUAAAUCUUAAUGAAAACUGGGCCUAGGCUUACAUAAGGAAGUGUUUUUCUAUAGUUGUCUGCUUUUGAACCACUCUGGUGCAUUAUGAACA